UCGUUAUAAAAGAACCCUAAGAAGUACACCCUGUCGCACCCUGUAGGGGGUGAGAAUUCGUGUUGGCGGCCAGCGGCGUUGAGGCCUCUGAAGAAGAAUCCCAUAGGGUGGGGCCUCCGGGGGCGGUAAAAAUGGCGUUAUGUAACAAAAUUAGGCAAUGUAGAUACGGUGUCGGCAAAAAGCAACGAUUUUUUAGUAUUAUAAUUUCAUACAAACGAAUGCACCCCGCCUGCAUUCUACAAUGUGCUUUUAGAAUUCAAAGAAAAAUACGUGAGUACCUCCAAGUAAUAAAAAUAUAUUGCAAUGUGGACGCUGACGCAACGGCAACUAUAUAUGUCGUUCCCACGAGUGAACCGGAUACAUCCACAUUCCAAUGAUGUCAUACGUUAAUGCACGUGUGGCGAAAUGAGUGAACCGCGGGAAAUACGCUGACAGUAACUAUAAAUAUUAUAUGUCGUUCCCACGAGUGAACCGGAUACAUCCACAUUCCAAUGAUGUCAUACGUUAAUGCACUAACUAUAAAUAUUAUAUGUCGUUCCCACGAGUGAACCGGAUACAUCCACAUUCCAAUGGUUUGCAAAUUACUAGUUAAAGGAUGUACAAAUUCUAUAAAUAUUAUGCACAUGUCGUUCCCACGAAUUAAGUGCAAAUGUUUUUUAAUCGUUUGCAAAUUACUAGUUAAAAGAUGCAAUUAAAACGUGAAUGUGUUCACGAGGCAUUUCCGGAGUAGCUACUAUUUAAACUGAAAUCGGGGGAUAGCCAUUUUAUAGAGUUUCUGUCAGUCACAAACUACACCAAGUAAUCGUUUUGUGAGUGUGAUCAAUACAA
rnacentral:lncRNA from 1 species